rfam:Dolosigranulum pigrum ATCC 51524 genomic scaffold supercont1.1, whole genome shotgun sequence.
CUUUACGGAUAAUUGCGCACUUGCUAGACAAGUGUGAGGAAAGUCCAUGCUUGCACAGGCUGCGAUGCCUGUAGUGUUCGUGCGUAGUGAAAUCAUAAGCUACGGCCCUGAAUAGGUGACGGCAGAUAAACAGACUAAGGUUCGCUAUGUCUAAGUAGUCUUGAAAAGUGCCACAGUGACGAAGCGCCUAGAGAAAUCUUGGCGGUGGAACGGGUAAACCCCUCGAGCAAGCAACUCAAACAUAAUGGUAGAGGCACUUCCAAAGCAGAAAUGAAUGAUGCGGAAGAUAGGUAACACUAUAGACAGAUGAUUAUCUCGAAGAAACGGGCCUAGCGUUUCUUUAGACAGAACAUGGCUUAUAGUG